GACGAACGCUGGCGGCGUGCUUAACACAUGCAAGUCGAACGGACAGGCCCUGCUCUUGUGCGGUGCUCGAGUGGCGAACGGGUGUGUAACACGUGUGUAAACUGCACUUGUCUUUCGGGUAACUUCUGGAAACUCGGGCUAAUACAGGAUAUGAGCUCCUGCAGCACGGUGGGGGUUGGAAAGUUUCGGCUGUUGUGGAUGGAUUCGCGGCUUAUCGGCUUGUUUGUGGGGUUGUGGCUUACAAAGGGUUCGACGGGUAGCCCGCCUGAGCGGGUGGCCAGCCACCUUGGGCCUACGGGACGGACCAGACGCCUACGGGAGGCAACAGUGGGAAAUAUUGCAGAAUGGGCGGAAGCCAGAUGCAGCAACCCCGGGUGCGUAAUGACCGCCUUCGAGGUAUAAACCGCUUUCGCCGGUAACGAAGCGUGAGUGACGGUAAUUGGUAAGGAAGCACCGGCUAACUACGUG
rnacentral:rRNA from 1 species